rnacentral:rRNA from 1 species
AGUGAACGUUGGCGGUAGGCCUAACACAUGCAAGUCGAACGGCAGCACAGUAAGAGCUUGCUCUUACGGGUGGCGAGUGGCGGACGGGUGAGGAAUACAUCGGAAUCUACUUUUUCGUGGGGGAUAACGUAGGGAAACUUACGCUAAUACCGCAUACGACCUACGGGGGAAAGCAGGGGAUCUUCGGACCUUGCGCGAUUGAAUGAGCCGAUGUCGGAUUAGCUAGUUGGCGGGGUAAAGGCCCACCAAGGCGACGAUCCGUAGCUGGUCUGAGAGGAUGAUCAGCCACACUGGAACUGAGACACGGUCCAGACUCCUACGGGAGGCAGCAGUGGGGAAUAGUGGACAGUGGGCGCAAGCAUGAUCCAGCCAUACCGCGUGGGUGAAGAAGGCCUUCGGGUUGUAAAGCCCUUUUGUUGGGAAAGAAAAGCAGCAGGUUAAUACCCCGCUGUUCUGACGGUACCCAAAGAAUAAGCACCGGCUAACUUCGUG